rnacentral:rRNA from 1 species
UACCUGCAGCUCGAGUGGUAACCGUUAUUAUUGGGCCUAAAGCGUCCGUAGCCGGUUUGGUAAAUAUCUGGGUAAAUCGUGAGGCUUAACUUCACGAAUUUCGGAUAGACUGCCAGACUUGGGAUCGGGGGAGGUCAGAGGUACUCCAGGGGUAGCGGUGAAAUGUUGUAAUCCUUGGAGGACCACCGGUAGCGAAGGCGUCUGACUAGAACGAGUCCGACGGUGAGGGACGAAGCCCUGGGGCGCAAACCGGAUUAGAUACCCGGGUAGUCCAGGGUGUAAACGAUGUGGGCUUUGUAUUGGAGGUCCCACGUGGGCGUCCAGUGCAGAAGAGAAGUUGUUGAGCCCACCGCCUGGGAAGUACGGUCGCAAGGCUGAAACUUAAAGGAAUUGCGGGGGAGCACAGCAACGGGAGGAGCGUGCGGUUUA